rnacentral:rRNA from 1 species
AACGAACGCUGGCGGCAUGCCUAACACAUGCAAGUCGAACGAGACCUUCGGGUCUAGUGGCGCACGGGUGCGUAACGCGUGGGAAUCUGCCCUCUGGUUCGGAACAACAGUUGGAAACGACUGCUAAUACCGGAUAAUGACUUCGGUCCAAAGAUUUAUCGCCUGAGGAUGAGCCCGCGUAGGAUUAGCUUGUUGGUGAGGUAAAAGCUCACCAAGGCGACGAUCCUUAGCUGGUCUGAGAGGAUGAUCAGCCACACUGGGACUGAGACACGGCCCAGACUCCUACGGGAGGCAGCAGUGGGGAAUAUUGGACAAUGGGCGAAAGCCUGAUCCAGCAAUGCCGCGUGUGUGAUGAAGGCCUUAGGGUUGUAAAGCUCUUUUACCCGGGAUGAUAAUGACAGUACCGGGAGAAUAGGCCCCGGCUAACUCCGUGCCAGCCGCCGCGGUAAAAC